CAAGCCAUCAAGUUCCCAUGAUGUUCCCUGUUAAAGCAUCUGCUAGAAGGAUGAGACUGUUUGCAGGGAAUUUUUUGCUUUCUAAGCGAGAAAUAUUCCUCAUGUGGGCGGAGGACUCAGGCACACGGGACCUGCAACAAGCAACGAGGCUAAAAAAUAGUUAAAAUGAAUCAACAUUUAUCUGGAAUCUACAGUCUUGACCUAAAAAAAAAAAAAUCAUUUAUCUUCCGUGUCCUGUGAUGUUUUGAGGAUUCUGGCAAAUAUGGCAGUUAAACAAACUUCUCUCAUAAUCUAAAUACUGUCUGUUCAAGAGAGGCUUCCAAUGUUUAUAGCCCAUAAGUAAAGAAAAAAAAAAAAAAAAAAAAAAAAAACUGGUAUUUCACCAAGAACAGUGCUCUUGAAAAUGUCUCUGAACAAAGUGUUCAAGCAAAACUUUGACCGCAGAUAUUUUCAAUUCCUCAUUCUUCCUCUGAUUUUUUUUUUCAAUGAGGUAUUCUGAUAGUCUCUCCUUUCACUCCUUUUUCUUGAAAGUAAUGAAUGCAUUUCCAAAAAAUUAACGCCUGACUAGUGACCUGGUCAUACAAACUUCCUUGAGAAACAGUUGAGAAGAAAACAUCACAUUUUUAUGAACCCCGUCUCCUGCCAGGGGCCCCGGAGGAGGAACACCAUUAUGCAUUGUUAUCAGCGUGGUGUAAUUUGACUGUUGACAAAGUAUCCGUGGCAGUGAGAAUGAGCGCAGUUAGAAGUGUGGCGGAUUGUAAUCAAGAAGAUGCUUAGCUGUGCAACACUGCAUCUUGAGCAGAUUUGAAUCAACAUUGCCUUAAGGGGACACACACACAUACCAAAAGGAACAAAAAAAAAAAAAUCCAUUAAUUUUUAGAGGGAAAAUUAGAGUGGCACUUGAUGAAGUGAAAUUUGACAUGCGUUAAUUGCUCUGCAGCUCCCCUAAUUAGAGAUUUUCAA
rnacentral:lncRNA from 1 species